AUCAGAGGGAGAAAUGGACUGAGGAAGAGCAUCAGAGGUUUCUUGAAGCUUUAAGGUUGUAUGGUCGUGGCUGGCGCCAAAUAGAAGAGCAUGUAGGCACCAAGUCUGCAGUUCAAAUUCGAAGCCAUGCUCAAAAGUUCUUCUCUAAGGUUGUCCGAGAGUCAAAUGGUGGCUUUGAUGGUUCCAUUAAACCAGUAGUGAUACCGCCUCCUCAUCUUAAAAGAAAGCCAGUACAUCCAUAUCCCCGCAAAUUUGUCAAUUUGGUCAAAGGAAUAUUCAUUAGCAGAAUAUUCAUUAGCAGCUUAAUCAAUUUAAAUAAUCAAUGUUGAUAUUUCACAUGAGAAUGGAUAUUCAAAUAUUAUAUUUUACAUGGUUAUGAUUUAAAUCAUUAUUUCAUUUAAGGAACUUCAUUGUAAUAUCAUAUGUUAUUCAUAUCUUUAUAUUUAAUCUAAUUUUUAUUAUUUA